UACGGAGGGAGCAAGCGUUACCCGGAAUUAUUGGGCGUAAAGGGCGCGUAGGCGAUCUGAAAAGUUCUGUGUGAAAGCCCACAUGUUAACUGUGGAAGUGCACAGAAAACUGUUGGAUUUGAGUUCAGGAGAGGAAGGCAGAAUUCCCGGUGUAGCGGUGAAAUGCGUAGAGAUCGGGAGGAAUACCAGUGGCGAAGGCGGCCUUCUGGACUGACACUGACGCUGAGGCGCGAAAGCCAGGGGAGCAAACGGG
rnacentral:rRNA from 1 species